AUAACGGUCCUAAGGUAGCGAAAUUCCUUGUCAGGUAAGUUCUGACCCGCACGAAUGGCGUAAUGAUCUGGGCACUGUCUCGACAGCCCACCCGGCGAAAUUGUAGUACUGGUGAAGAUGCCAGUUACCCGCAACUAGACGGAAAGACCCCAUGGAGCUUUACUGCAGUUUAAUACUGGGAAUCGGUAAUUCAUGUACAGGAUAGGUGGGAGACUGAGAAGCAUGGCCGUCAGGUCGUGUGGAGUCACCGGUGGGAUACCACUCUUGGAUUGCUGGUUUCCUAACCUGCGGCCCUGAAUCGGGUCGGGGGACACUGUUAGACGGGCAGUUUGACUGGGGCGGUCGCCUCCAAAAGAGUAACGGAGGCGCUCAAAGGUUCGUUCAGCACGGACGGAAAUCGUGCAUUGAGUGUAAACGCAUAAACGAGCCUAACUGCGAGACCGACGGGUCGAGCAGUAACGAAAGUUGGAGUUAGUGAUCCGGUGGUAUGUGAGUGGAAAUGCCAUCGCUCAACGGAUAAAAGUUACCCUGGGGAUAACAGGCUGAUCUCCCCCAAGAGUCCACAUCGACGGGGAGGUUUGGCACCUCGAUGUCGGCUCAUCGCAUCCUGGGGCUGAAUUCGGUCCCAAGGGUUUGGCUGUUCGCCAAUUAAAGCGGCACGCGAGCUGGGUUCAGAACGUCGUGAGACAGUUCGGUCCCUAUCUGUUGCGGGCGUAAGAGAUUUGAAGGGAGCUGUCCUUAGUACGAGAGGACCGGGAUGGACGUACCUCUGGUGCACCAGUUGUCCUGCCAAGGGCAUAGCUGGGUAGCUAUGUACGGACGAGAUAAACGCUGAAAGCAUCUAAGCGUGAAACUCCCCCUAAGAUGAGAUCUCUCAUUCGAAAGAAGUAAGGACCCAGAGAGACGAUCUGGUUGAUAGGCGCGAGGUGGAAGUGCAGUAAUGUAUGGAGCUGACGCGUACUAAUAGUCCGAGGGCUUGACCUA
rnacentral:rRNA from 1 species